UGGUGAUGGUAAGGGCAAUUUCUGAGCAUACACUUAAAUCUUUCCUAAGCUUGGUAGAGAUUCUCUCCUUCUUUUUACUUGAAACUCAGAAUAUCACUUCUCAAAUA
rnacentral:snoRNA from 1 species